rnacentral:rRNA from 1 species
UACGUAGGGUCCGAGCGUUGUCCGGAAUUAUUGGGCGUAAAGGGCUCGUAGGCGGUUUGUCACGUCGGGAGUGAAAACUUGGGGCUUAACCCCAUUCGUGCUUCCGAUACGGGCAGACUAGAGGCAGGCAGGGGAGAACGGAAUCCCUGGUGUAGCGGUGGAAUGCGCAGAUAUCAGGAGGAACACCGGUGGCGAAGGCGGUUCUCUGGGCCUGUUCUGACGCUGAGGAGCGAAAGCAUGGGGAGCGAACAGG